CUCUCUUACUUCAUUUUUAAAAAGGUUAAAUUUAGGAAAUAUGGAGGAAUAGAAUAGAAAAAUAGAAGAGCAGAAAGGAAGAAGUGUCUGAUUCAAUCUCUCUACUGACCUCUCGAGAGAAAUCAGACUGAAGAGAAGAAAGCACCUUUAAUAUCUUCACCGGCUGAGGUGUCACAGCAGAAGCAGGACUAGUCAGUUUUUAUCGACUUGGGGGGGUAUGAGAAAAUACCCAGUAGUGCUGAGGGAAUAAGCAAGAGGAAACAGAUCAUAUUUCAAUAACAAAUGCCAUUUAAUUUAUACAUAUACACAGUACUUCUCUAGCCCUUUUGUGAAAAAGGUGUGGAUGUAUCUAACAUUGCUGUGUGUGAAUGCACAAGAAAAAUAUUAAGGCCAAAGUGAUGAAUUACAUACCAGGUAAAGAAUGUAUGAAGGCCCAGACAUCAUCAACUGUCCAUAUAGAUGGCUCUGUUUGUGCAACUGGUAGCAAGUCACUGUUCUCAGGCAUUUUCCGAAUUCUCACAUCCCGAAGCUCACGUUCUCUUUCCCGCUCACUCUGCCUGCGUAGACGAGUUGUCAUAGCAGAGGGCACAGAAUCUUCAUGAGAAGCCAAGUCUUCUUCUGCAGAUGGAUAAGUAAUUGGAAGCUGGAAAAUGUAGUACAAGCAAAAUACAGCAUUGCACUUUCCUUGCAUUUCUGAAAAGGGUAUUUUACAUUGAAGCAAGGUUUAUACAGACCUGCCUAAGCAUAUGUUCUCUUGCUGCCCCAUCAGGGCCACUUGGACGACGGCCACGAUGCCCAAGACUUUGAUUAUCAGGCUUACGAUUCCAACGACUAAGUGCAAAUUUUUUAGAACAGCUAACAUUGUACCUAAGAAAUUCAAAUAAGAAAAAAUAUUUAAUGAUAUAUGGGACAAUCCAUUUAGUAUUUAAUUGCGACUUUAAAGUGCAACUGUGAAUACAUCAUUAAUGAAUGUAAGACCUCAUAUAAUAACUAUACUGUUCAAUGGAUUUACUUAUGCUAAGAGGUCAAAAAAUGGGCUCUGUGUAUAUCAUAAUAUAUCUCUCAGUAUAAUACUGGACAUCUACAACAAAAUAUUGUAUUUUUUCCUGAUUACAGCAUGACAGUGGGAAACUUCCUGCAAAACGCAGAGGAUAACCAAUUUUCACAGCAGCAAAAAAAAAAAAAAAAAAAAAAAAGGAAGCUUCCAAAAGAAAAAGAAGUUAUGUAGUAUCUAAAUGUUUAUUCAAACUGAUUUUUCUAAGUAAUAACUUCCAAAGAGACAUUAAUUUUUAAAAGUUUAAUAUACUAGGGAGAAGAUCUCAAGCAGCUAACAAAAGAUUUUUCAAAUAUUAAAUCAAAGAACGAAAAUGUAAAGUGGAGACUUUAAAGUUAUACAAGAAAUUCAUUGCUCUCACUAUUCAGAAAAUUUCGAAGUACAUAACUCUUUAAAGGUUUUCUUUUAUCAAAAUAGAUCGCCUAGUAUUUUUGAACAUAGACCUUUAUAAGACAUGAUGACAGCUUAAAAAAAUCCUAUGUCUUUUAAUGGAUCCUAAAGCCCUGGAACGAGGACUGGCAAACUUUUUCUACGAAGGACCAGAUGAACCAUUCCAAUUCUGCUCUUCUACCUAUUUUGAAAUACAGUACAAGCUAUAGUCAUCCUAUUGAAGAUCUUAAAUCCUUUGAGAGAAUAAUUAUCUUUUUGAACAGAGAACCAAUUUCAAAAUAGUGUGCAUACACUUCAACUUAAGUGGAAAUGGCUCCAAUCCUUCCUGAAUCACAAAGCCUUCAAUAACAUGGGUUAGGAUCUGCGGUUUCACAAUAGCCUGUGGAGGUUUGUUCUCUACACUGGGAAUGCUACUGUGCAUAGAUGUACUGUUACUCCUUGUGGUGGCAGCUGGAAGUAACAAUGGAGGUGGUGGAACAGAAACAUGUGAGGGAUCUGACGGAGAUUUAAUUACUGAAGCACUGACUGAUGCCACAGCAGCUCUGUUGUACAGGCUGAACUCAAACUCCAGGGCUCAAGUGAUGCUCCUAUCUCAGC